CAGUAGCCGCGGGAAUACGUAGGUGGCAAGCGUUAUCCGGAAUUAUUGGGCGUAAAGGGCUCGCAGGCGGUUUCUUAAGUCUGAUGUGAAAGCCCCCGGCUCAACCGGGGAGGGUCAUUGGAAACUGGGAAACUUGAGUGCAGGAGAGGAGAGUGGAAUUCCACGUGUAGCGGUGAAAUGCGUAGAGAUGUGGAGGAACACCAGUGGCGAAGGCGACUCUCUGGUCUGUAACUGACGCUGAGGAGCGAAAGCGUGGGGAGCGAACAGGAUUAGAUACCCCCGUAGUCCCUGUCUCUUAUAA
rnacentral:rRNA from 1 species